AAGAGGAAAGGUUAAGGCAAAUAAAGGUAUCCUGGUAUAAGCAAACUUUAGCCUUUUGUUUUGUUGUUUUGGCUUUUAAUAUUGUAUAAGGUUCGCUAAGUUAUUUUUGUUGGUCAAGAGAU